AGUGAACGCUGGCGGUAGGCCUAACACAUGCAAGUCGAACGGCAGCACAGUAAGAGCUUGCUCUUACGGGUGGCGAGUGGCGGACGGGUGAGGAAUACAUCGGAAUCUACUUUUUCGUGGGGGAUAACGUAGGGAAACUUACGCUAAUACCGCAUACGACCUACGGGUGAAAGCAGGGGAUCUUCGGACCUUGCGCGAUUGAAUGAGCCGAUGCCGGAUUAGCUAGUUGGCGGGGUAAAGGCCCACCAAGGCGACGAUCCGUAGCUGGUCUGAGAGGAUGAUCAGCCACACUGGAACUGAGACACGGUCCAGACUCCUACGGGAGGCAGCAGUGGGGAAUAUUGGACAAUGGGCGCAAGCCUGAUCCAGCCAUACCGCGUGAGUGAAGAAGGCCUUCGGGUUGUAAAGCCCUUUUGUUGGGAAAGAAAAGCAGCAGGUGAAUACCCCGCUGUUCUGACGGUACCCAAAGAAUAAGCACCGGCUAACUUCGUG
rnacentral:rRNA from 1 species